rnacentral:misc_RNA from 1 species
GAUGAAGAACGCAGCGAAAUGCGAUACGUAAUGUGAAUUGCAGAAUUCAGUGAAUCAUCGAGUCUUUGAACGCACAUUGCGCCCCCUGGUAUUCCGGGGGGCAUGCCUGUCCGAGCGUCAUUGUUGCCCUCAAGCACGGCUUGUGUGUUGGGCCUCCGUCCUCCUCCCGGGGGACGGGCCCGAAAGGCAGCGGCGGCACCGCGUCCGGUCCUCGAGCGUAUGGGGCUUCGUCACCCGCUCUUGUAGGCCCGGCCGGCGCUUGCCGACACAUCAAUCUUUUUUCCAGGUUGACCUCGGAUCAGGUAGGGAUACCCGCUGAACUUAAGCAUAUCAAUAAGCGGAGGA